rfam:Schistosoma mattheei strain Denwood, Zambia genome assembly, scaffold: SMTD_contig0024631
AUCCAGUUGACGAGUCCUAAAUAGGACCAAACCCACUUCAUGGAU